AGAGUUUGAUCCUGGCUCAGGACGAACGCUGGCGGCGUGCUAACACAUGCAAGUCGAACGGAAAGGCCCCUUCGGGGGUACUCGAGUGGCGAACGGGUGAGUAACACGUGAGUAACCUGCCCUUGACUUCGGGAUAACUUCAGGAAACUGGGGCUAAUACCGGAUAGGAAUCCUUGCUGCAUGGCGGGGGUUGGAAAGCUUCGGCGGUUUUGGAUGGACUCGCGGCUUAUCAGCUUGUUGGUGGGGUAGUGGCUUACCAAGGCUUUGACGGGUAGCCGGCCUGAGAGGGCGACCGGCCACAUUGGGACUGAGGUACGGCCCAGACUCCUACGGGAGGCAGCAGUGGGGAAUAUUGCACAAUGGGCGGAAGCCUGAUGCAGCAACGCCGCGUGCGGGAUGACGGCCUUCGGGUUGUAAACCGCUUUCAGCAGGGGCGAAGCUUGUGGUGACGGUACCUGCAGAAGAAGCACCGGCUAACUACGUGCCAGCAGCCGCGGUGAUACGUAGGGUGCGAGCGUUGUCCGGAUUUAUUGGGCGUAAAGAGCUCGUAGGUGGUUGAUUGCGUCGGAAGUGAAAACUUGGGGCUUAACCCUGAGCGUGCUUUCGAUACGGGUUGACUUGAGGAAGGUAGGGGAGAAUGGAAUUCCUGGUGGAGCGGUGGAAUGCGCAGAUAUCAGGAGGAACAUCAGUGGCGAAGGCGGUUCUCUGGACCUUUCCUGACGCUGAGGAGCGAAAGCGUGGGGAGCGAACAGGCUUAGAUACCCUGGUAGUCCACGCUGUAAACGGUGGGUACUAGGUGUGGGGUCCAUUCCACGGAUUCCGUGCCGUAGCUAACGCAUUAAGUACCCCGCCUGGGGAGUACGGCCGCAAGGCUAAAACUCAAAGGAAUUGACGG
rnacentral:rRNA from 1 species